AGAGAGACAGAUAUAGAUUGUUCAUCCACUGGUUCACUCCCCAAAUGCCAGGCUGAAGCCAGGAGCCAGGAACUCCAGCCUCUGCCAUGUGGGUGGUAGAGAACCCAAGUAUUCGGGCCAUCAUCUGCUGCCUUCCAGGGUGUACAUUAGCAGGAAACUGGAUCAGUAGCUGGAGCCAAGACUGAAACCUGUCAAUCCAGUGUGGGAGAGAUCGGUGCAGAUCCGAACAGAAGCCGGCUCGAGGCUCCACAUCGAACCCCCCGGGGACUACUCGGAAGAUUUUGAGUCGACUGAGGAUGCCGAUGCCAAGACCAUGGAUGUUUCUGGGGAUCGUCCACAGGAGCUGAGAAGAAGCCUGGAACUCAGUGCAAACGCACAGAGGAGACAGGGGGAUUGUCCCAGCAAUGACUAGGACUCUAUCGAAGAAGACG